CGUUUACACCCCUAAUUGCAGUGACAUUUAUCUAUUUAUGCAUCCCUGAGUCUAUAAAAAUGCUUUUUUUCACUAUUUGGUUGGAUGUAUUUAGAUGGAUCUAAAUAGAAAAGGCUAUGAUGAUACGUUAACUGGUUUGUUCUCUAUUUCUUCGGCAGGAUUGAUUUUAACGGCCACACAAAUUUUUGCAAGGGCUUAAAAUGGAAUUUCAUGGAAGAUUGGCUGAAGCGCGCCAAGUCUGUCAUGUUAACUCAAUGAUGAUUCAUCGGUUGACUCUGAAUUGAAGAUGGAAAUUUUAUUUGUACUAAAAUUAUUGAGGAUGGCUUGAAGGAUGCUGCUUAGGCAACCUGUAUGGACAUUCAAGGAUGCUGGUAAAUAAGGUAGUUUGCUAUCAUGAUUCUUACAUGUGUUCAUCUUCUGCUUCCAACCUACCCUUUCAUUAAAAAAUUGAUUCUUUGGGAUUAAGUUGCCAGUACAGAUCAAAGGCUUUGAAGCAAAGAAAUCUUUCAGCAGCGGCAAUGACUUUUCUGAUUAUUGUUCCUCUUUGGCCCCCUUCUGAGUAUGGUCCAAUUUGAUCACAUCCAAAAUGAUGCAUAUUUAGUAUGAGAGAUUAUGGGCGGAACCUAAACUCUAGACCCUAAAGUGUCAUAAUGGUCACUCAUUUGUAAUUGGUUAGAUGUGAAACUUGUGUACAUUUUUAUUUUGUAGU